rnacentral:misc_RNA from 1 species
GUCCACCCUCGCUCCCUCACCCUCUUAUUUAUCUCUCUUAAUAUUCAUCAUCUGCAUGCCUAACCUCUUCAGCUCUCCAAACACUCUUGAAAAUGGCUUCUUUCUCCACCACUCUUUUUUCUCCUCUCACCUCUUCACCUUUCCUUCACUCUCUCUUCUUUUCAUCUACCUUUCAACGCCCACCAAAAAUGCUGUACGACCUCAUUUCUUCACCAAUUUCUUGAACCCUUCACAACCACCAUCACAGCGUCGUGUUCCUUCUCAAGAAAGACUCUUGGAAUUCUUUUUGGUGCUCAGUAUUUUGUUUAACUGCGUAAACUGAGAUGCCCAUUUUGUUUUUCUGAUGAUUCUGUUUGUUGAUUCGGUCAAAGCCAUAUCUUGGUGCUGCUUGGUGCACUCCAACUUGGAUAUCAGUUUUCCUGACUUGGUUACUAAUCUGCUUUCAGAUCUUCAAAGCUUAGAUUGCGCUCUUUUCUGGUCAGUUUUAUCCAGCACCUACUUAUUUGGUAGAGUUAUUUGAGUUUGAGCUCAAACUACAGUGUGGGUUCUAGGGUUUUUCAUUUUUCAUAACUGCUAGCCAAUCUCUGUUUUGAUUAGACUUUUAACUCUUUAGACCCUUUUGAGUUAUUGCUAGGGAAGUGAUUUUGAAGACAACCCAGUUAGUUGAUCGGCUUCGACAAUCUGUCUCACUUGUUAGUCAUAUGGAGUAUUUCUUGAUACCUGGUUAGGGUUUCUAGUUUGUCGUUUAAGCUAGACUAUUAUAGUGGCAUCCGAUCAAAUUUGUGACCAUCCACUUUUUGUUGUUUUAGCUGUUUCGCUUUUUGGCGGACAAUUCAUGGGUGUGCUAGGGUUAACCGCUUUAGGACAAUAAUUUAUUGCAAAAUUGUAGCUUAGUUUGAAAAUUGCGCAAUUGUAACUGUUUAGGCAUCCAUUGAGUGGGGUUUUAACCUCUUACCAUUACCAUUGGGCAUCUUUGGUUAUGUAAUUAGGAUUACCAGUGGGUUUCUGGUGUUCUAUAAGCUCCUUUGUGGUCCUUUCUGUCAAGAUGACUGGAAGCAGUCACUGUUUCGUCGAAUGGAAAGAGCAUUUUGUUUCGCAGGAGCGGGGGAACCGUGUGGUUCACUAUUUCCUGAAGGACUCUGCUGGGGAAUCUAUUCUUGCUGUUGUGGGCACUGAGAGGAGUGUUAGGCACAUGUUCUAUGUUGUUGCUGAGGAGUUUAUGCAGACUUAUGGUGCAGAAAAUUCUAUUCAUGCUGGUUUCAAAUGGAGGUCAAGGAGGGAGGUUGUGGAUUGGCUUACGUCUAUGUUAUCAAAGCAGCAUCUACAGAGUGAUCGGUCCAAAUCACCAAAACAUGAUUUAGUGCAAACUCUAGAAUCUCCUCAAUAUCCUGUGAAUGCAUUUGGUGCUCAACAGACACAGGGCCGGCUUUCUAGGAACUUGAAUGGACAUAAUUCAGAUAUUGUGUGGUCAGGCGAUGCAUGGACAUGUGGAAAACAGCUCAAACACUACCCCGCUUUCUGUAGAAAUGGGAUUAGAAUAGCGAUCCAGUCCUUUGUUUUUGUCAUGGCAAAAGGUAAGAAUCAUUACCUUGCUUAUUUGGAAGAUAUGUAUGAAGACAAGAGGGGACAAAAGAAAGUCAAAGUGAGGUGGUUUCAUCAUAACCAGGAAGUCAAGGGUGUAGUUCCUCUAAGAAAUGCUCAUCCAAAAGAAGUUUUUAUUACACCUUAUUCGCAGGUCAUUAGUGCAGAAUGUGUUGAUGGCCCUGCUACAGUAUUAACUCGUGAGCAUUAUGAGGAAUACUUGGCUGCUUUUCCUAAUGCUUUAUCAGCUAGAAUACAUUUGUGCUUUAGGCAGUUCAGAAGCAAUAAAGUAAAGCCCUUUGAUUUGAGUAGAUUGCGUGGGUACUUUGAUCAACAAAUUAUCUCUUGUCUGAAUUCCAAACCAUUUCCUGGGCCUGACUCUAUAGGCUUAGGCUAUGGCCUAACGGGUGAACAAGAUGAAGAAUUGAGUCCAGAUGAGAAUGUGAAGUUGGGAGCCAAGAGGACCAGAAGUGGUAGAGGGAGUGAAACAUUUGCGACAGAUCAUUCAGGAGUUGGAAUUUCUGGAAGCCAGAUGAUGACUUCUGAGCCUUCGUAUUUCAACUUAAGAUAUGGUAUGUCAGGCAAGAGAUUGCCUCCCCUCAAGCAUGCUGAGUCUCAGCAUCAAUACAGCCCACUAUUUAAGGUUGAUGAAAAGGUUGAACUGUUGUGCCAAGAUAGUGGUAUUCGAGGCUGCUGGUUUAGGUGUACUGUCUUGCAGGUCUCCCGAAAACAGAUAAAAGUUCAGUAUGAUGAUCUGCGAGAUGAAGAUGAGUAUGGCAAUCUUGAGGAAUGGAUCCCGGCUUUCAAAUUGGCUGUGCUUGAUAAACUUGGUAUGAGGUGCUCAGGCCGUCCAACAAUUCGACCAGCUCCUCCUCUAAAUGAACAAGCAGAUCUAGCUUUUGAGGUUGGCUCUGCCGUUGAUGCAUGGUGGAGUGAUGGAUGGUGGGAAGGGGUUGUAACUGGAAUCAGCAGUAGCAAUGAUGAUAUUCUGCAAGUUUACUUUCCUGGUGAGAGUUUCUUCUUGAGCAUACACAAAAAGAAUCUAAGGACUUCCAGAGAUUGGGUGGAUAAUCAAUGGAUUGAUAUUCAGGCAAAACCUGAUAUACUUUCGGCAAUAUCAGUAACAAUUAGCCCAGAUGCCAAAAUGUCCACGUCUUCAACAAUUACCAAGGACAUGAAGCCCAGUGGUUUUGAUUUUUCCUAUACUGAAGUUCAUACUAGUGCUGAGCUUAAUAACAUUGAAGACAAAAAGUCAGACAUAGCUACAUUGGUCAGUACUGGCAGCAUCCUGGAGGAUAUGGACUGUGAUGAUGAUAGGAAGCCUCCAUCAUCUGAUGACAAAGCUGAUGAGGAUGGUGGUAAUGACAUUAAUGUUAGUUAUGAUGAAGUAGAUGGAGUACAAGGCAAUGAUGAAGAUGAGGUUGAUGGUGAUGUUAAAGAUAGUGAUGAAAAAAUAGAUAUAGGGGUGUUUGAGUCAUCUGAGAAGAAUUGUAAGGCUGUGGAAUUCAUGGAAGUGACGGCAUAAGAUGCUUGUAGCCGGCUUGUAUUGCAUUAUAUCAUGAUUGCCAUGGUCCUACUAAUAUUUGUAGGUUUCGGUUGGUGCUCGAGAUGGCUUUGUAAAUAUUAACAUGACAAUUGACGAUCUCCAUCAGUUUGUCGAUCAUAAUCAUAGAUGUACAGGAAUCAUAUUAGAUUUUUAAGGUUCUGUUGUAACUGGUUUUAUGAGAGUUGGGAUUGGCAUUUGAAUUCCUUUGGUUAGAAGCCUAAUUGAGUCAGAUUUCCCAAAGUGGUCCCUCACUUAAUGUGCUUCUUGCUUGUAAUUUGUACCAUGAUAAUAUUAAAAUUACUUAUAUAAUCUGUACUCUGAAUUGCUUGUCCCCAACAGUUAUUCAGUGGUUUGAAUGCUAGGGCUGGGCUUCAAAUUUGUUAUUCUUAACAUUUUAAAUAGAAAUGAUUUUGCAUUCUGC